CAUAGUUGCAAGGGUUCCAAACCUUAAUUACUUAAGUACCAAAGGCUGCUUUCGGUUGGUUUCAUAAUGGGGCUGUUCACUACAAGCUAUCAGCGCUCAGCGCUGUCUUAGAUUGAACGUUGACUUAUCUUAUUGCCGUUCAAUCUCUAAGGCGGGUUUCCGCUGAGAACGGAAUAGUGUUCGUGUCCAAAGGUGAACAAAGCCCUAGCUUCUAGAGUUCGCUGCUUUUCCCAGGCCGGAGAAGGGCUUAUACUGCUCGCCUUUGUUUGAUAUGUUCAUUCAGUACCAAUACAAACAAAAACUACACCAAAGUGGAAGGGCCAGUAUAGAAGCUAGAAGUAGCUAGCCUAU
rnacentral:lncRNA from 1 species